rnacentral:rRNA from 1 species
AGUGAACGUUGGCGGCGUGGAUUAGGCAUGCAAGUCGAGCGAUCGUAGCAAUACGGGAGCGGCAAACGGGGUAGGAAUACAUCGGAACGUACCUUUUGGUUGAGAAUAGCGUUGGGAAACUGACGGUAAUACUCAAUAAAGUCGAGAGACCAAAGGUUUACUGCCGGAAGAGCGGCCGAUGCGAUAUUAGGUAGUUGGUGGGGUAAUGGCCUACCAAGCCUGAGAUGUCUAGGGGGUGUGAGAGCAUGGCCCCACCACUGGGACUGAGAUACUGCCCAGACACCUACGGGUGGCUGCAGUCGAGGAUCUUCGUCAAUGGGCGAAAGCCUGAACGAGCGACGCCGCGUGCGGGAUGAAGGCCCUUGGGUUGUAAACCGCUGUCAGGGGGAUGAAACCGUAAGGUUGACAGAGCCCCAGAGGAAGCACGGGCUAAGUUCGUGCCAGCAGCCGCGGUAAU